GAUGAACGCUGGCGGCGUGCCUAAUACAUGCAAGUCGAACGAGGCCCUCUUCCUUCGGGAGGAGGUGUCUUAGUGGCGAACGGGUGAGUAACACGUUGGUGACCUACCCCGAAGAGGGGGACAACCCCGGGAAACUGGGGCUAAUACCCCAUGUGAUCCUAAGGAUUAGAUGCCUAAGGAUGAAAUGGAGCAAUUCGCUUCGGGAGGGGCCUGCGGCCUAUCAGCUAGUUGGUGAGGUAAUGGCUCACCAAGGCGACGACGGGUAGGGGACCUGAGAGGGUGACCCCCCACACUGGAACUGAAACACGGACCAGACACCUACGGGUGGCAGCAGUAGGGAAUAUUGCACAAUAGGCGAAAGCCUGAUGCAGCAACGCCGCGUGCGCGAUGAAGGCCUUAGGGUUGUAAAGCGCUUUUCUGGGGGACGAGAAAGGACGGUACCCCAGGAAUAAGUCUCGGCUAACUACGUG
rnacentral:rRNA from 1 species